CUUUAAAAUAUAGGCUACGUGAUUCACGUUAUUUCAAAAAGUUGUGUGAAUUGCUGAAUAUAAGUAAACGUUGAGAGAGAUUCAGAAUUCAUAGCAAGCAGAGGAAGAUCAUGAAGAGGCCUGUGAAAUACUUUGUGGUUGAUGCAUUCACUGAGUCAGCUUUCAAGGGGAACCAAGCAGCAGUUUGCUUUCUUGAAGAAGACCAUGAGAAAGACGACUCUUGGCUUCAGUCUCUUGCUGCUGAGUUUGAACUUCCCUUGACAUGUUUUCUUAUUCCCAUCACCGGCUCUGAUUGUCUACAUUCACGACGCUUUCAUCUCCGGUGGUUCACCUCCAAAGCCGAGUUAUUUGGCAAAGCAGAGGGUCGGAGGUGGUGGAAUUAGUAGGGAGACAGCUGUUUAUUGUUGAUUACAUGUAGGACGCUUUGUGAACGAAGACCAGUUGAUACAUAUAUAUUUUUUGUAUUUAGUUGUCUGCAUCCCAAUUCCCACCGAGGAACUUAUGAUGGUGUGCUUGUGUCACUUUUUCUGGGUUUUUUUUUGUUUUGGUGACUAUUGGAUUUUAGUUGGUUUCUUUGUUGCAUUGUUUAACGUCGAUGCCAUGUAACUAUCUGAACAUGUUCUCAUGCAUGAAGCAAAAGACAUGCUUAUUUUCUCGAAAUGCAAAGACCCAUCAACGUUCCCCUAUAUUUAAAAACCAAGCAACUCUUCUCCUGGUGGGAGAUAGUUUGAAGAUAAUUAAAGACAACCAAAGUUGAAAGUAGGAAAAAACAUACGAAAAUGGUUAUUUCAUUGACACAUAAGCUAAGUGGGGAUGACGGUUUGAUGGACUUGAAACAAUCACUCACGUGCCUCUUUUCUUCGUUUUCAAAGCUUGGCAUUGCUUCAUCAACUUCUUCGGCUCUCCUGGGCACGUGAACCGUGUAGCUAACAGUUGUUGCUGGUAGUAUAGAUUGGGAAUCCACGUCUGGAGUUUUGUUUCUGCUGGCAGUCUGAAACACAUUUGUACGUGUGUGUUAUAUUAGAUGAUGUUAUUCUGUUAGAUAUAUGCAUGAAAGUACUAUAUUCAGCAGAAAUUGUUUAGCAUCAACAUGUUUCUUGAGAAAAAAUAGAUGACUAUCCCUAAAUAUUUUUGGGACUGACCGUGGUGACCACCAUGACAAACUGGGUUAUAUCAUCUGAGUUCAUAAGACCCCUAAAGGGGCCGCAUCAUCGUCAGUCACACAAAGCAAGUACACGACCACCGUACUGGUGUAUGAGAUUAUAUAAGUUUUCUUAAAGCAGCACUACAAGAAAAAAGGGUAUUGAUAGCACUCCGGGAUAGCACGAAUUUUCAAACUGCUAUAGUAGAUUAAUUUUUCGAUUUGGGAACGUAUUCAUAGCAUUAACUUAAUGCUAUCAUGAAAAAUUAGCAAGCGGGAAAAGAAAAACACAGAUACCGCCUAUACUUAGUAAAAUUUCGACAACCGCGAAGAACUUAAUUAGUUCCCUCCUUACUUUAAGACUUAGACUACAUAAGGAGAAAAAAAUCAGUCUUCACAUAGAAAAAAAAAUAUUAGAGUCACGGAGAGAACUCUCUCUCGAGAACAAACCCUAAUACCGUCACCGUUAACCUAUCUCCCACUGACGAAACUCUCUGUCGACACCUUGAAGACCGAUUUCGUGCUCUGUAACUCAAACUCAGUUGAAAAGAGGAGGAUGACCUGAAGUUGUGAACAGAUCCAAGCUCAGUUGAAUCAGACGAGGAAAAAACCCGACUCUCCACCAUCUGCGAGAGGCGAACACAGUUCCGGCGGAGAAGACUGAGGAAUAGGACGACGGCGGUGAAGAUAUAGAUUGUGGUUGAGUAUGUUCUAGAGCAGCCCGAGUUUGAAGAUGGUUUUAACGUUGAGUUCAAGCAAAUCUUUGAGAAGUUUAACUUCAGGGAACCUGUCUGAUUAUCUCUGUUUAAGAGACAGUUUUAGUAUCGUGGUUGAAUUUUAUAAGUUAAAUGAAGAAGUUUUACGGUUGGAGCAGAUGGUAUCUUAAUGGAGGAUUUUCAGAAUUUGAAUAUACUCCUUCUCUUUCUGCUUGUGAGGUUUUGAGAUGCAUCGCUUUGUGUUAAGAGAAGAUCUACACAUCAGAUCCAGACUCUCUGAUUCAUCAUCUGCAAUGACUCUUGGGUUACUUCAGAUCCUGGUUAUCAAGAAGAAUAUUCAUGAUCGUUCAAUCAUUUUACCCGUGGUGUACAUGAUACUGCUCAUUGGACACCAAACUCUGGAGACAAGACCCUUCAAUACGAUGAAGAGAAAAUGCAGAAACGGCUGGAAUCAUGUUCCUCUAGCACAAGCGCAGUGACUGGUGAAAUGGCUUUACAUUUGGUAAAUGGCACAGACUUAUGUGAUUUGUAUUUCAGAAUCCCGAUCAGAUGCUUCUUGGUCCCAAUGGCUGUGUGGAAAAUGGUACCCCUUCUAAAGGUCUGUCUCCUCUCUCUCUCAUUAAAAGUCUAUUAAAGUAAUUUAGCUGAUCUUAGUCAGGGAAAGGUCUGAUCUUUCGAUACUGCUUGUGUGUGUGUGACACCUCAUUAUAUUUGCUUGCAAAUUUUAGUCGGUGUACUGAAUCCAAACCAGUGGAAUUGUCUGUGUAAAAACCUUAAGAAUUUUUGUAUUUCUGAAUCCUAAUCAUCAGGUUUAUCUUUCUUCCUCUCAUCUAUUUUGGUUUUAUGUUAAAAAAGGAUCAUAUACUUUAUGAACAUAAGCAAAAUUUGUUUUUGUCCCCACUGCUAAGACAGAUCAGUUAACCGGAGUCUGGUUAUCCUUUCCUCUCUGCCUUGCAUAACGGGAGCCUAAUUCCAGCUAUCUUGCAGCGUUCUGGUAUUAUAUAUAUUUUUUUUGUAAAAACAUAAAUGUUAAUGGUACUCCGUUCUUCUUUUUUUGUUCAUAUUUUCGUAAUCAUGUCGUCUCACAUACCUUUAUUUGGAUUCACGGCUCUAGCUAUAGAAGAUUUGUCUAAUUCGAUAUGAAUGCGUUGUUCGUGUGUAUUUAGCUCUUUAGUUCUUGCUGAUUCCAGUUGCAGGUAGGUAUGAAGUGAAUGUGGGUGAUUCAUUAUUAAUUCAAAAGCUCAGACAGCUGAACCCUUUUGAUUGUUUUUUAUAGCUUCUUGGAUUACAACUUGGGAUAUUAUUAAAGUGCAUCCACUACGCUUUCUCUGAGAGACACAUGCUAAGGCCAAAAAGGAAAAUAGGAGCUCAAGGUUUUGAUUUAGUUCCCAUGUUUUCUUGUCUUUUUAUAUUUAGUUCUGAUAUUGUAACGAUGUUUGUGUAAGAUUUAAUGAAAAUGUUUACAUGUUUGUGGUACUGAUAUAAAAGUACAUUUUGGUUUAUUAAUGAAAUAUAAAUUGAAUAUUA